UUUAAAUCUCAAUCUGAAACUCAAUCUAAAGCGCCCCUGGAAUUUGCGCUUGGCAUGAAGGGUGGAAAUGGAGAUUCCAGUUAUGCCAACAAUUCUUCACCUCAGUUAAGGAUUAUCCAAGCUGUUAGGCCAAUUCUGGAGAAUGGCAUUUACGAGAAUAUGAAAUUGAAGUUUGAUGUACGAGGCAUUUUUAGGAUUGCGGAUUUCGGUUGUGGAACUGGCCAAAAUACUCUUCUGGUGGCAGAUACCAUUGUCAGUGCCGUACAACGCUUACUUAAAGAACAGGAGAUGCCAGAAUUUGAGGUUUAUUUUACCGAUCUUCCCUCUAAUGAUUUCAAUUCACUGUUUUGAAUGUUGCCUUGUACUAGAUCUUACUUUCCAGCCGCUGCGUGUGGAUCGCACUUCAGACGUCUCUUCGCACGGAAAAGUCUCCAAUUUUGUCAUUCUUCUAUGAGUCUCCAUUGGCUUUCACAGGUGCCAGAGACUGUUCAACAGAGAAGAUCUCCUCGUGUUUACGUUUCAAGUGACUCUGAGGAGGGUGUAGCUCCUGCGUAUCUACACCAGUUUGAUACAGACAUGACAGAAUUUUUA